AGGGAAUCUUCCGCAAUGGACGCAAGUCUGACGGAGCAACGCCGCGUGAGUGAAGAAGGUUUUCGGAUCGUAAAACUCUGUUGUUAGAGAAGAACAAGUGCUAGAGUAACUGUUAGCGCCUUGACGGUAUCUAACCAGAAAGCCACGGCUAACUACGUGCCAGCAGCCGCGGUAAUACGUAGGUGGCAAGCGUUGUCCGGAUUUAUUGGGCGUAAAGCGAGCGCAGGCGGUUCCUUAAGUCUGAUGUGAAAGCCCCCGGCUCAACCGGGGAGGGUCAUUGGAGACUGGGGAACUUGAGUGCAGAAGAGGAGAGUGGAAUUCCAUGUGUAGCGGUGAAAUGCGUAGAUAUAUGGAGGAACACCAGUGGCGAAGGCGACUCUCUGGUCUGUAACUGACGCUGAGGCUCGAAAGCGUGGGUAGCAAACAGGAUUAGAUACCCUGGUAGUCCACGCCGUAAACGAUGAGUGCUAAGUGUUGGAGGGUUUCCGCCCUUCAGUGCUGCAGUUAACGCAUUAAGCACUCCGCCUGGGGAGUACGACCGCAAGGUUG
rnacentral:rRNA from 1 species